ensembl:snRNA U1 U1 spliceosomal RNA
AUACUUACCUGGCAGGGGCAAUACCAUGAUCAUGAAGGUGAUUCACCCAGGACGAGGCUCUAACAUUGUGCUUCGGUGAUGCCGACCCUUGUGAAUUCCCCAAAUGCGGGAAUCUCGCCUGUAUAAUUUUUGGGGGCAGUCAUGGGCUGG